AGACACUUCCCUCAAAGCCUAUGAGAUCUACUGAUUGCUUCACAAAGUGCACAGCUUCAUCACACUGACAGCUUUAAGAGACAUCAACUCUCUCUCCAGGGGAUAAAACCUGCUCAAAACUAAUUGUUCCAACUAGCAUGUCCAGAGCCAGGCUGUGGACACACUUUGAAGGCAUCUCAGCUACCUUUACCAGGACACAGUGUGUAUGACACCUCCAAGAAGGAAUAUGGCCCCUUUCACCCCUACACUAGCAGCCACCUAAUUCUGGAAUGACACUUGUGGAUCUUCUCGUCGCUGGAUACAUAGUAGCUAAGGAAUAGACUUUGUUUUCUGUGUUCUGAGAUCCGUCGAUAAGGAGGGAGAGCUGCUGGGGUCCCACCUGAAGCUCUGGAUAAACGAUGCUUGGAUCUAGCUGUGGACUGUAGAAGACUUCUGUGGUCAUUUUCCAAACAUGAUGUCCCAGUGGAUUAUCCUGCUAAUCGCAGUAGCUG